UCAGUCGACUCCUACGGGGAGGCAGCAGUGGGGAAUAUUGCACAAUGGGGGAAACCCUGAUGCAGCCAUGCCGCGUGUGUGAAGAAGGCCUUCGGGUUGUAAAGCACUUUCAGUAGGGAGGAAGGUAGUGUAGUUAACACCUGCACUAUUUGACGUUACCUACAGAAGAAGCACCGGCUAACUCCGUGCCAGCAGCCGCGGUAAUACGGAGGGUGCGAGCGUUAAUCGGAAUUACUGGGCGUAAAGCGCAUGCAGGCGGCCUGUUAAGUCAGAUGUGAAGCCCGGGGCUUAACCUCGGAAUUGCAUUUGAAACUGGCAGGCUAGAGUCUUGUAGAGGGGGGUAGGAAUUUCAGGUGUAGCGGUGAAAUGCGUAGAGAUCUGAAGGAAUACCAGUGGCGAAGGCGGCCCCCUGGACAAAGACUGACGCUCAGAUGCGAAAGCGUGGGGAGCAAACAGGAUUAGAUACCCUGGUAG
rnacentral:rRNA from 1 species